rnacentral:piRNA from 1 species
UCCCAACCCUUAAAUAGGAGUGUUCCUCAAGU